UAUUAUCAUUAAAAUCUGGUUCAUGUUCAGAUAGACAGUGAGAGAUCUACUCCAACCAACAACGACACUACGUCACUCAAAGAUUCAGAGGUCCCUGGGUCUCCACAAAAGCCCCCCGCCAUACCUUCUCGGAACCCUUUAGGUGCCCCUCCUAGUCUCCCACCAGGGGCCCCGCCUCAAGGACCACCCCCUGCUGCCCCACCCUCCGGUCCUCCGCCCCCUUUACCUGGUAGACCGCCGGCUGGUCGACCUCCCCCCCCUGUUCCAAAACGCUGAAUAAAUGAAAACGUUUUAAUUUAAAAUCAAAGAAAGAUCUCAUAGUUUAUAUCAAUAUUCUUGUGUGGGAUUCAAAUCAGGCAAAAUGAAAAAUACAUGAAAAAUUUUCACUUUUUCUUAGUUAAAGGGACUGAAAGCGUAAUUUCAAGUGACCCUCCAUGCAAUGACCGAUUCCCAAUGGUACCCUGAUAAGCUUUCUCUGAUCAAUUAUGAAUAAUAUGUCAAUGUUUAUAAUUUGAAAACUGAUGAUUUUCAAUUGUGGGUUCUCAACAAAAGUGACUUGCGCAUUUCUGCUUCAAAAAUAGGAGUAUUUAGAACUAAUCACUUACAAACCUAGAAAAACGACAAGAUCUUCCACAUUAUUGAUCAGAUAAAGGUUUCAAGGGUACCGCUCUGAAUCGGGCAAUGGCAAAUGUGCAUGGAGGUUGACUUGAAAGUAUGCUUACAGUCCCUUUAAGUUUAUAUUGUAUGUAACUUCAGCUGUAUAGCGCGUUGAAACAAAUGCUUUAAUGUUUUUAAUAAUGCUUUCAUAGUUUAGAAAUUCCAUGUGGCCACAGGAGUUAUUUACAAAUAAAAUCUGACAGAAACUUAUCAUUCUCAUAGAAUUUUACUGAUUUUUAAGACAUUUUUAAAAGGCCAAGCAAGAUUUUUUGGCGGCUUGUAAACAUUAAUCGAAUAGCAUACAUUCCUGCACUGUACUGUACUGUAACCUAUUGAGGGAAUUUUUGUGGCUAUUAAGGUCCAGUCAUCAUUAUUUUUAAUACAGCAUACAUUCCUGUACUGUACUGUACUGUACCGUACUGUACUGUACUGUACUGAAUUUCUUAUCCUGGUAUUAUAGUAAGUAAUGUGAUUUUAUCUAGUCUGUAUUAAUCAAUUGUACAAAAUCUAAGACAGAGACAGUUUUGUAGAUUUGUAUUUUAACUUUACAACUUUAAAAUCCCUGUUAGCUGUACCACCCCCGUGAAAUGAUGAAAAAAGAAUUAUUUUCUUGCAUUUAUUAGAUUUGCUGUAAAUGAACUAAAAAAGAAUACGUUUUUCAUUAUUUAAUUGUAAUUUGUAUAACUUACUCUAAAUAAAUAGAUUAAUAAAAAGUAUAAUAUA